rnacentral:rRNA from 1 species
CCUACGGGUGGCAGCAGUGAGGAAUAUUGGUCAAUGGACGCAAGUCUGAACCAGCCAAGCCGCGUGAAGGAAGACGGCUCUAUGAGUUGUAAACUGCUUUUGUACGAGGGUAAACGCAGAUACGCGUAUCUGUAUGAAAGUAUCGUACGAAUAAGGAACGGGGAACUCCGUGCCAGCAGCCGCGGUAAUAAGGAGGAUUCAAGCGUUAACCGGAUUUAUUGGGGUUAAAGGGUGCGUAGGCGGUAUGAUUAGUUAGGGGUGAAAUUCCGAGGCUCAACCUCGGAAUUGCCUCUGAUACUGGUCGUCUUGAGUGUAGUUGCGGUAUGCGGAAUGUAUGGUGUAGCGGUGAAAUGCUUAGAGAUCAUACAGAACACCGAUUGCGAAGGCAGCUUACCAGGCUACUUCUGACGUUGAGGCACGAAAGCGUGGGGAGCAAACAGGAUUAGAUACCCUUGUAGUC